rnacentral:tRNA from 1 species
GCGAAGCUCAAACAAUAGAGCAUUCCGAUUACAAAUCGGAACGGUCAAAGGUUCGAAUCCUUUCGC